rnacentral:rRNA from 1 species
AACGGAAACAUGUCUAGCUUGCUAGAUGAUGUCGAGUGGCGGACGGGUGAGUAAUGCUUGGGAACUUGCCUUUGCGAGGGGGAUAACAGUUGGAAACGACUGCUAAUACCGCAUAAUGUCUUCGGACCAAACGGGGCUUCGGCUCCGGCGCAAAGAGAGGCCCAAGUGAGAUUAGCUAGUUGGUGAGGUAAAAGCUCACCAAGGCAACGAUCUCUAGCUGUUCUGAGAGGAAGAUCAGCCACACUGGGACUGAGACACGGCCCAGACUCCUACGGGAGGCAGCAGUGGGGAAUAUUGCACAAUGGGGGAAACCCUGAUGCAGCCAUGCCGCGUGUGUGAAGAAGGCCUUCGGGUUGUAAAGCACUUUCAGUUGUGAGGAAAAGUUAGUAGUUAAUACCUGCUAGCCGUGACGUUAACAACAGAAGAAGCACCGGCUAACUCCGUGCCAGCAGCCGCGGUAAUACGGAGGGUGCGAGCGUUAAUCGGAAUUACUGGGCGUAAAGCGCACGCAGGCGGUUUGUUAAGCUAGAUGUGAAAGCCCCGGGCUCAACCUGGGACGGUCAUUUAGAACUGGCAGACUAGAGUCUUGGAGAGGGGAGUGGAAUUCCAGGUGUAGCGGUGAAAUGCGUAGAUAUCUGGAGGAACAUCAGUGGCGAAGGCGACUCCCUGGCCAAAGACUGACGCUCAUGUGCGAAAGUGUGGGUAGCGAACAGGAUUAGA